UGAAAAUCCAACAGUCCCUUGGGGCUGUUAAUGCAGACAAUCUUGACUCUGCUAAUCCUUAGAGUAUAACUGACUGACUCUGUAUGUCUCUUUCCAUGACAGAGAAUCUAAAUGGUCAAGAAAGACUACCCAUGGCAGGGAAUUUUUAAUAAGCAGAACUUCUGUAUCAGGCAAUCUCUUUGACCUAUGGAAAGCUUACAGAGAUUUGCUUUCAGGUCAGAUACAAAUCCUGAGUUGACUUAAUCAUCCCAGGAAGAUAGAGUUACAUGGGUGAAAGCUUGACAGACCAAGAAUAAGUCUACUGGGAGAUCUUUUCAGCUGGAGCUCCUUACUUGGUCUGUGCCUUAGAAGAUGAUGAACCUUGUAAAGUGCAUGCUGGCUGCUGCCCAGAGGUACCUGAUCAUGGAGAACUUCAUCUCCCCUGAGAAGAACAAGAUUAUGAACUAGCUUUUCCUAGACUGCCAAGAGGAGUAGUGGAAGUUCCAGCCCCUCCUUCCUAGUGGAGCCAAUAGCAGCCAAAUAAAGCGGCCAACAUCUGUGGUGGCCUACAAGAGGCCUAUUAGCCAGUAUGCUCGGGUUGCCAUGGCAAUGGGGGGUCCCGCCCCAGGUACAGGGCUGAGAACAUCUUGUUUCUGGCAUUGGACAUGUCCCCGCCAGUGGUCUUUGAGAUGGAAUUUUCUCAUGAACAAGAACAAGACCCCGGUGCACUACAUAUGGAGAGGCUCAAGUGGUUGAACAGCGUCUGGAAAGACCUUCCACAUCUAAAGUCCGGAAAUCCGUAUCUUGGUGCCAGAGUCCUCAGUGGCCUCCACCUCCCACCACACAUGCCUCGCUGACUGCCUCUACUGCUUUGCUCCCCACGACAGUGUUCGACCAUGAAUGACAACCUUCUAUCAGGCUGCCUGUGCCUCCAGACCCCAGGGACUGGGCUGCCGACCCAGGCUCAUCUCACUGAAGCUCAGUAUGCUUGCAUGUGUGUGCGUAUGUUGCGGGGGGACCCCUGGCAGGCAUGCCUCUACUGGCUCUUAGCCUCCUUUAUUUAAUUAAUGUUAUUUAUUCAUGGAGCUCAGUUCCUGUGGGAAAGGAGCCCUUGCCUGAGCCUGCCGUGUGCACUGCCCAGCCUCCUCCUCUUCUGACUUUAGACUCCCCUGCCCCAGUCAGACUUUGUUCUCCUUCCGGUCAGUUGCCCGCAGAAGGGAAGACGCAGGUAUCUAUGGCUAUUUUUUCUAUCUGGCUUGCCCUGCAAUCUCCAUCUCCUCCUAUGCUGCAGGUGAGCAGCUCCUGAGCACUUUCUGGGACCUAGAGAAAUACAAGGUGUGCGAGGAGGACAGGAGACAUCCAUCCUAAUGAUGGUGAGCCUGUGCUUCCCGUGCAGGGAGCCCCGCUCUCAGCUUUCUGGGCCUCAAACAGCCUCUUUCCACUUCUUGGGCUCCUUAUCAAGGACUCCAGGGACCUCAUCUGCACAGCCCAUGCUCUUCAGCUUUGGCAAGAACUGAUGGCUUCCCAAACUGCUUCCUGCCCACCCUCCCAACUCAUGGAAGGGAACUGUGAACCGACCAGUUGCUGCCUCUUUGGGACCUACAGGACGUGGAAUGGUAAUGGAGACAGUGCGGACAGUCAUCAAGGGAGGUCCAUUUGGUUCUGUCCCCUCUGAUAAGUCACUUUGGCUGACAAGCAAUCAGGCCAACUCUCCAUCUUUGAGAUGCUGUUCCUUCCCGCUUUCAUCAUUCCUUGCAGCUGCCCAGAUCCCUGCUGCUAGUGGGAGGAUCAGUAUUCUUUUCCCCCAGCUAAACAAAGGUACCAGAAUCUGUUGCUUCUCCCCAUCAUAGAGCACAGGAGAUGGAGAGCCAGGGACAACCUGCCAAUUCUGUCCAGUCCCUCUGUUUUUGAAUCACAUUUGUUGGCCCUGUUUUAUUGACAAGACUGACCCAUCAGCAUUGUGCAAAUUGAUCCCCAGGGAAAUCCUCUCACUCCCCUUUGUGACAUCCCAAGAUGUCUCCAGGUAUCACCAGUAAAUUUCUACUAAAAAAAGAGAGAUUCAUUUUCAUUAACUUACCUUUUAAGUGUAUAUUUUGACAGGGUAAAUAAACAGUCAUGAAUGGAAACACAUAGUUUGGGAUUGCAAAAUGACCUAAUACGGAGUCUCCAGUUACUAGAAUAUGAGGAGUUUAG
ensembl:lncRNA